rnacentral:rRNA from 1 species
AUUGAACGCUGGCGGCAUGCCUUACACAUGCAAGUCGAACGGCAGCACGGGGGCAACCCUGGUGGCGAGUGGCGGACGGGUGAGUAAAGCAUCGGAACGUAUCCUGGAGUGGGGGGAUAACGUAGCGAAAGUUACGCUAAUACCGCAUAUUCUGUGAGCAGGAAAGCAGGGGAUCGCAAGACCUUGCGCUCUGGGAGCGGCCGAUGUCGGAUUAGCUAGUUGGUGGGGUAAAGGCCUACCAAGGCGACGAUCCGUAGCGGGUCUGAGAGGACGACCAGCCACACUGGAACUGAGACACGGUCCAGACUCCUACGGGAGGCAGCAGUGGGGAAUUUUGGACAAUGGGCGCAAGCCUGAUCCAGCCAUGCCGCGUGAGUGAAGAAGGCCUUC